AANGAAGUACAAAAACCUAAAUACUAUAGGACUUAAUAAACAUGUGUUAUCACCAGGCUUUAAUAUAAAAGGAACGUCCUAAAAUAACUGUUUAGUAUAUUUUGCUAUAUUACUUUACAAGGAUUAUAAAAGCAACUAUGUACUUUAAAAAUAUAUAAAUAUAUGUAUAAUUAACUACAGUAUAUAAUGAUACCUGAAAGGUACUGCUUAACCUUAAAAACUGAUUUAACCAGUUAUUGAGAUUAUUGACACGUAAAGUAAUAUGUAAUAAUGGAAAAUUAAUUUUAAUGAAAAAAGGUUAAAACCUAAGAAAAAAAAAAUAUAAAAAAAUUCAAUAAUUUGUAUAUGUAAAACUAAUAUGGACAAAGCUGAUGACAUUCACACAUUUCUUUAUUACACUAUAACAAAUGAGGUGAAUAAGUUUAAGUGAUUUUAUAUGAGGUUGGUAUUGGUUUUCUGCCACCAUAAAGAAGGAUGACCUUUUGUUAUUGUUUCUAGUUUUAUCGCCCCUCUCAAAAGUAUUAGAUGUUUUCAUUGGUUUCAUAAUCAUAUAAAAUCACACCUCACUGUUGGUCUGUCAAUGAAAAUAUAAGUGUUCUGUCAAAGUUUCAAUUAGAAACUACAAAGUACUUAUGUUAGGUCCUAUUGUAUUAUAUAUUUUAGUAGUUUGUUACUUAAAUGAAUUUGACGAAUAGAUGUUAACAAAACAAAUAUGAACAAGUCAAUAAAAUAACAAAAUAUAUGUACAUAUAUUAAAAAACGUUCCUGAUCUCAAUAUUAUAUAAUGUGUGACCAUUUGAUUUAAUUAAAUGACUAGCACUUAAGCAAAUGAUAUCAAAUAAUUGUACACAUUUUACUUUAAAAAAAGUCUUUUCAGACCUUGAAAAUAAGUUUGAAGUUCAAUGUAGUCAACCAAAAAUAUUUCUUAUGCAAGAGCUGCAUGUUUUGACAUUACAACUAUCUGAAAUAGUCAAACACAGGUUAUGAAUAAGAUAAAUCAGAUAUUAUAUUUGGAAGUUGUUGAAUCAGUAUAGGGUAAGCAUCAUAUUCAUCUAAGAAAUCCUUAGGAAUACAUAAAAGUUUGUUCAUUAGCAGCAGUUUGUCAAUAAAUAUUGCUUGUUUAAUAGACAUGUUUACUUCACAUUGGAAAAAAUAUGGCAUCAAUUGUAUUGCAUUCAAAAUACAUUAGAGCCUAUACUGACAAAAUAUUAAGUAAAAUCUUAAUGUAAGGGAAUGAGGCCUUAAAAUGAUUUAAAAAUCGAAAGAAAAUCAUUAAGCAAAUAGGCUCUCAAUGUCAUUAGCCAUUUUCUUUCAUAAAAAGGGCUGCUGAUACUUGCAAAGAUAUAAAAUGACUUUUGAUCAGGAUCUGCACAUUGACUAGUUUUUCAAAAAUAACAAAACAAAUACACCGUAAUGCUGCCUGUAAAAGCUUGCAAAUCUAUAAUUUUCUCUCAGAAUUACCUAUUUCUAUACAGGGAAACUUUUCUAAAUAAGAAACAGCUUUGUCACAAGCUCUUGAUAUGCUAUCCUUAAUUUUUAACAACUAAAGCACAUUAUUUCAAGUUAAAUCUACUGGGGAAUUGUAUCAAACCUAAGUUUUUAUUAGCUGUAUUCAAAUGUCAUUCCAUGAAUGGACCAAACCAUUUGUUUUUAACUUGAUGAAUUAAGUCCUGCAAUUCAGAAACAACAAGUCAAAAGACCUAUCAAAGUCAAAUGGAAGUUCACAUUCCAUGAUCCCAUCACUGUCUUAAAACUUCUUCAAAUUGCAUGGCUACAAAGUGAAACCUUGCAUUUAUAAGUCACUAGUACAAACAACAUAAAACAUAUUUACGACUGAUAAUUCUUAAUAUUGUAAGUCUGAGACUUCUUGAAACCAUGUCCUUUAAACAUUUCAUUAGAAUAAGAUAAAGCACUUUGACAUUAAGGCACAAAUAAAAUAGAAUUUAUAAUAAAAUACAAAAAUAUAAUGAUAAGUAACAUAGUUUUCAAUAUCAACAAUAUCACAUUAAUAAAAAUCUACAUUUGACUUUUAGUGUUUUGGAAUGAUUUCAUUGUUGCUAUCUUAUUCAAGUUUUUAUAAGAUUACUUUUAUAUUUAAGAUGAAGUGCAUAUAUUGCAAUAAUGAAUAAUCUGCAACGGUGUUAGGGUAGGAUCUUUAUUACCAAGACUACAGUUUCUUUAUCAACAAAAAAUACAAACUAACUUUACUUUUCAUAAUUACUGUAUCUACACUGAAUAAAAACAAUUCAUGAAAAAAUAAAACCUUAUUAUUUAUCACUUGAAGUCCAAAAGUAGAUUGGUGUUUGAAAAAUAUUUUUGAAAAAUAUUGUUUUCAAAAUUUAACCACAUGGUUCUGGCAAAUAGCAAUUCCAAAACACUAAUCAGAUCUACAUUUAGUUUGAACACAUAUUCGCUGUUAUGCAAAAACCUCGUAUCUCAAUUUUUUGCGGAAAUCUUUUUAUCGAAGAUUUAGAAUUAAAUAUCUAUGUUCCACUGUAUGCGAAAAUAUCUGAUCUUCUAACCAAUCAUUAACCCGAAUUCUGACAUGUGACGAAAAAGUGUAGUCGGAUUGGUGAGACAUUUUGUUGUGCGAUAAUAUCG
rnacentral:lncRNA from 1 species